rnacentral:rRNA from 2 species
GCUUAACACAUGCAAGUCGAACGGGAUUUAGUAAACAGAAGCUUCGGUGGAAGAUUACUAAUGAGAGUGGCGAACGGGUGAGUAACGCGUGAGCAACCUGCCUAUGACAGUGGGAUAGCCUCGGGAAACCGGGAUUAAUACCGCAUAAAAUCGUAGAAACACAUGUUUUAACGGUCAAAGAUUUAUCGGUCAUAGAUGGGCUCGCGUCUGAUUAGCUAGUUGGUGAGAUAACAGCCCACCAAGGCGACGAUCAGUAGCCGGUCUGAGAGGAUGAACGGCCACAUUGGAACUGAGACACGGUCCAAACUCCUACGGGAGGCAGCAGUGGGGAAUAUUGCACAAUGGGGGAAACCCUGAUGCAGCGACGCCGCGUGAACGAAGAAGGUAUUCGUAUCGUAAAGUUCUGUCCUAUGGGAAGAUAAUGACAGUACCAUAGAAGAAAGCUCCGGCUAAAUACGUGCCAGCAGCCGCGGUAAUACGUAUGGAGCGAGCGUUGUCCGGAAUUAUUGGGCGUAAAGGGUACGCAGGCGGUUUAAUAAGUCGAAUGUUAAAGAUCGGGGCUCAACCCCGUAAAGCAUUGGAAACUGAUAAACUUGAGUAGUGGAGAGGAAAGUGGAAUUCCUAGUGUAGUGGUGAAAUACGUAGAUAUUAGGAGGAAUACCAGUAGCGAAGGCGACUUUCUGGACACAAACUGACGCUGAGGUACGAAAGCGUGGGGAGCA